rnacentral:rRNA from 1 species
CAUUGUCUCUAGAGGGUAUAAGAGAUAAGACCUGCCCGAUGAGAUUUCAAUGGCCGCAGUAAUUUGACUGUGCAAAGGUAGCAUAAUCAUUAGUUUUUUAAUUGAGGACUGGUAUGAAAGGUAUAACGAGGUAUUUGUUUUCUUAAAUAAAAAAUAAAAUUUUACUUUUUAGUUAAAAGGCUAAAUUAAUUUUAAGGGACGAGAAGACCCUAUAGAGUUUUAUAAAUAAUGUUAAUUUAUUUCAGUAAAAUUAGAGGAUUAACUUAUUUUAUUUGAUUGGGGAGAUUUUGUAAUAAAACUUAUAAUUAGAGUAACAUUAAUUUAUGAUUUUGUGAUCCAUAAGAUGAUUAAAAGACUAAAUUACCUUAGGGAUAACAGCGUUAUUCCCUUGGAGAGUUCUUAUCAAUAGGGGAGUUUGCGACCUCGAUGUUGGAUUAAGAAUAUAAUUAAAUGAAGCUGUUUAAUUAAUAGGUCUGUUCGACCUUUAAAUUCUUACAUGAUCU